CCUACGGGUGGCUGCAGUGAGGAAUAUUGGACAAUGGGCGCAAGCCUGAUCCAGCCAUGCCGCGUGCAGGAUGACGGUCCUAUGGAUUGUAAACUGCUUUUGCACAGGAAGAAACAACGCUACGUGUAGCGUCUUGACGGUACUGUGAGAAUAAGGAUCGGCUAACUCCGUGCCAGCAGCCGCGGUAAUACGGAGGAUCCAAGCGUUAUCCGGAAUCAUUGGGUUUAAAGGGUCCGUAGGCGGUCUUAUAAGUCAGUGGUGAAAUCUCCCCGCUCAACGGGGAAACGGCCAUUGAUACUGUAGGACUUGAAUUAUAAGGAAGUAACUAGAAUAUGUAGUGUAGCGGUGAAAUGCUUAGAGAUUACAUGGAAUACCAAUUGCGAAGGCAGGUUACUACUAAUGGAUUGACGCUGAUGGACGAAAGCGUGGGUAGCGAACAGGAUUAGAUACCCCUGUAGUC
rnacentral:rRNA from 1 species